CAGGAUGAACGCUGGCGGCGUGCCUAACACAUGCAAGUCGAGCGAUUACUUCGGUAAAGAGCGGCGGACGGGUGAGUAACGCGUGGGUAACCUGCCUCAUACACAUGGAUAACGUACCGAAAGGUAUGCUAAUACAAGAUAAUAUAAGAGAUUCACAUGGAUUUCUUAUCAAAGCUCCGGCGGUAUGAGAUGGACCCGCGUCUGAUUAGCUAGUUGGUAAGGUAAUGGCUUACCAAGGCGACGAUCAGUAGCCGACCUGAGAGGGUGAUCGGCCACAUUGGAACUGAGACACGGUCCAAACUCCUACGGGAGGCAGCAGUGGGGAAUAUUGCACAAUGGGCGAAAGCCUGAUGCCAGCAACGCCGCGUGAGUGAUGAAGGCCUUCGGGUCGUAAAACUCUGUCCUCAAGGAAGAUAAUGACGGUACUUGAGGAGGAAGCCCCGGCUAACUACGUGCCAGCCGCUGC
rnacentral:rRNA from 1 species